UACGUAGGGGGCAAGCGUUGUCCGGAAUUAUUGGGCGUAAAGAGCGUGUAGGCGGCCAGGUAGGUCCGCUGUGAAAGUCCGAGGCUCAACCUCGGAAUGUCGGCGGAAACCCUCUGGCUAGAGUCCGGAAGAGGAGAGUGGAAUUCCCGGUGUAGCGGUGAAAUGCGCAGAUAUCGGGAAGAACACCCGUGGCGAAGGCGGCUCUCUGGAACGGUACUGACGCUGAGACGCGAAAGCGUGGGGAGCGAACAGG
rnacentral:rRNA from 1 species